AGUGAACGCUGGCGGUAGGCCUAACACAUGCAAGUCGAACGGCAGCACAGUAAGAGCUUGCUCUUACGGGUGGCGAGUGGCGGACGGGUGAGGAAUACAUCGGAAUCUACUUUUUCGUGGGGGAUAACGUAGGGAAACUUACGCUAAUACCGCAUACGACCUACGGGUGAAAGCAGGGGAUCUUCGGACCUUGCGCGAUUGAAUGAGCCGAUGUCGGAUUAGCUAGUUGGCGGGGUAAAGGCCCACCAAGGCGACGAACCGUAGCUGGUCUGAGAGGAUGAUCAGCCACACUGGAACUGAGACACGGUCCAGACUCCUACGGGAGGCAGCAGUGGGGAAUAUUGGACAAUGGGCGCAAGCCUGAUCCGGCCAUACCGCGUGGGUGAAGAAGGCCUUCGGGUUGUAAAGCCCUUUUGUUGGGAAAGAAAAGCAGCAGGUUAAUACCCCGCUGUUCUGACGGUACCCAAAGAAUAAGCACCGGCUAACUUCGUG
rnacentral:rRNA from 1 species